GACGAACGCUGGCGGCGUGCUUAACACAUGCAAGUCGAACGGAAAGGCCCUGCUUUUGUGGGGUGCUCGAGUGGCGAACGGGUGAGUAACACGUGAGUAACCUGCCCUUGACUUUGGGAUAACUUCAGGAAACUGGGGCUAAUACCGGAUAGGAGCUCCUGCUGCAUGGUGGGGGUUGGAAAGUUUCGGCGGUUGGGGAUGGACUCGCGGCUUAUCAGCUUGUUGGUGGGGUAGUGGCUUACCAAGGCUUUGACGGGUAGCCGGCCUGAGAGGGUGACCGGCCACAUGGGGACUGGGAUACGGCCCAGACUCCUACGGGGGGCAGCGGGGGGGAAUAUUGCACAAUGGGGGGAAGCCUGAUGCAGCAACGCCGCGUGGGGGAUGACGGCCUUCGGGUUGUAAACCGCUUUCGCCUGUGACGAAGCGUGGGUGACGGUAAUGGGUAAAGAAGCACCGGCUAACUACGU
rnacentral:rRNA from 1 species